CAGUUUUCAUUUUGAGUUCGUUCAUUCACGCAUCUCCUUUUGCGUGUGGCUUAUUGCGUUAAUGAAACCCUUAAACAAAGCAGAAAAUCAGUGGACAAACAAAGAGUAAAUAGCAUCAUUCUUCAAAGAUACUAACGUCGUCGUUCUGGUUUUGGAAGUGUAAUUUAGGACUCAAUUCAACUUCACAGAAUAAGUUGCAUUUGUUUUGUUUUCUCCGUUAACAAUUAACCAGAAUAACACGGUUAAAGCAAAUGAGCAUGUGGAGCACAUACACUAAACACAACACUGAACAUCAGUAGUAAUUUAGGAAAAUAGUUGUGAUUGAAUGUAAUCUCAUAUCUCGGUACACCGACAAAUGUAUUCAAUCUGCGAUGUCAGUAUUACACAGUUAGGAGCCUUCGUUUAAAUAAAUGCAAAAAAGGAUAGAAAGAGAAAUGCAGUUCUUUUGGAGCGAAAGAGAAUCAAGGGUAAAUUUUUUUUGGGCGUAAACUGGAUAUCCUUUACCCGCAACUGCAGAACUAAAUCCCUCGACCAAAUGGGUGGCAAACUCUCCCUAAGAGUUUUAACACUGCUGCAUGGCCAAACCAAUGAUCGAAUCCAGGACCUUGGUUAAGCUAGAAGAGACUCGCGCCAUCUCAUUUAAGUGUUCUUGGGUGAAUC